rnacentral:rRNA from 1 species
AUUGAACGCUGGCGGCAUGCUUUACACAUGCAAGUCGAACGGUAACAGGGUGCUUGCACCGCUGACGAGUGGCGAACGGGUGAGUAAUGCGUCGGAACGUGCCGAGUAGUGGGGGAUAACGCAGCGAAAGUUGUGCUAAUACCGCAUACGUACUGAGGUAGAAAGUGGGGGACCUUCGGGCCUCACGCUAUUCGAGCGGCCGACGUCUGAUUAGCUAGUAGGUGAGGUAAAGGCUCACCUAGGCGACGAUCAGUAGCGGGUCUGAGAGGAUGAUCCGCCACACUGGGACUGAGACACGGCCCAGACUCCUGCGGGAGGCAGCAGUGGGGAAUUUUGGACAAUGGGCGAAAGCCUGAUCCAGCCAUGCCGCGUGUCUGAAGAAGGCCUUCGGGUUGUAAAGGACUUUUGUCAGGGAGGAAAUCCCUAGUGCUAAUAACACUGGGGGAUGACAGUAUCUGAAGAAUAAGCACCGGCUAACUACGUGCCAGCCGCCGCAGUAA